ACCAUACAUCUGAAAGGAGGAUCAGCAAAUUGACUUUCUGUUCCUUCACCUAUUCCCGUUCUAAAUGAUACAAGUAACAUUGUGAGAGUUUGAAUAGAUCCUCUUCCUAAAACCAAGGGCUGAGUAGGAACUACCCAUUUCCUAUCUCAGGACGUGGUCUGUUUUAGCCCUGACCUAGGAGAAUCUUUCUGCUAAGGGAUUGAAGAGAGUAUUAGGCUGGAGAGUAGACUCCUUAGACUUGGUGGACAAACUAUGACCUACAGGCCAAAUCUGGCCCACCUGAAUGUUUUUUACAUUUUUUAAUGAUUGAGAAAAAAUGAAAAGGAUAAUAUUUUGUGACGUGUGAAAAUGAUGUGAAACUGAAAUGUCAGUAUCCAUAAAUGAGGUUUUUUGGGGAACACACGCACACAAAGAAGUUAAGUAGCUUGUUCAAAGUGACACAACCAGUAGCUAUGGAGGCUAGACUCAAGGCUAAAUUUAUCCAACUCUGAAGAUCAUUGUUUGUCUACAACCCUAUGUCAUUCUGUGUCAUUUUCCAAAAUGAGUAAUUUCCUUACAAGAGUAUUCAAAGGAAGAGCUUCGAGACAGCAGAAGCCAGAUCCUGCUUUACAAAUAAAAUUCUUCUUCUGAAAAAUGUGAAUGAAGAGAACACUUCAAAAAAUAUGCCAUGUACCCUUUCAAGCAUCCUUGAAAAAGAAAUAAAAAGAGAAAGCAAAAGGAAGCAAUAUAUAUUAAAUGGAUUUUAGACACAGUGCCAGAUGUUUUUGCAAGGUGUUGGACAUGUUACCCGAAACUAAAUUCACCUCUUGCAGUGGAGCCAAAAUUCAAAGCAAACUGAAGAAUAGCAAAGGGAAGGGUAUAUUUGCACCAAGUAAAGGAGAACACUGGGGAUAUUUCCCAAAACAGUGUCUCCUUGAUCAAUAAAACUGGGUAAAUUUUUUUUUAAAGAUUUUAGUCACUUAUUCAUGAGAGACACAGAGGGGCAGAUACACAG